rnacentral:misc_RNA from 1 species
AAAUAAUCAAUGUUAGCAAAUUCCAAUAAUAUUCAAUCAUUCUUAAACACAUAACUUAUGCAGUUCAUUACCCUGCCCUUUUUCUACACAAAUCUGGUAAUCCAACUUUUAAUGGGAAAAGUAUUAAUUCUGUUAAAGUUAAUGAGUAACAAGAUAAACUUUGUGCUAGUGAAUCACAAAAUGGGCAUCCCAUGCUCUAUGAGGAUCAACAAAAGAUUGCAUUCACACAAACAUCAAAGAGCCUGUCUCACGAUGCAAAGGAGGUAAAAAGGUAGAAAUGCUUUUGAAUGAAAUCUUCCUAAAUGGAAUGCAAUAUUUACCUUCAAUUUUCUAUAAAAAUUAGUGCAUGUCAACCACAUUAUUAUAAAUUAAAAUACCUCAAUCUGAGUUCAAGAUAAGAGAUUAGUACUGCAAAAAAAUUUUACUGGAAGUAACUAGUUCACUUCAAUAUAUAUAUUGCACUGCAUCACAAAUUCACAACAAGGAUAUUUACUUCACCUAUCAACUCAAACUCACCAUAGCACAAAUAUCAAUUAAAGUAUAAUUUUAAAGAAAUGAAUUCCAAAAUACACACCAAAUUCAUGAUUUAUAUUUUCACAGGGAAACAAAGCCACAGCACAUAUGUCAUGGAGGACAUGCAAUGGCAUGCAGAAAAAGUAAACUUUUACAGAUAAGUGAAUUACCAAUUUAAAUAACAAAG